AUUGAACGCUGGCGGCAGGCCUAACACAUGCAAGUCGAACGAGUGGCGGACGGGUGAGUAAUGUCUGGGAAACUGCCCGAUGGAGGGGGAUAACUACUGGAAACGGUAGCUAAUACCGCAUACCAUCGGAUGUUCCCAGAUGGGAUUAGCUAGUGGGUGUGGUAACGGCUCACAUAGGCUACGAUGCCUAGCUGGUCUGAGAGGAUGACCAGCCACACUGGAACUUAGACACGGUCCAGACUCCUACGGGAGGCGGCAGUGGGGAAUAUUGCACAAUGGGCGCAAGCCUGAUGCAGCCAUGCCGCGUGUAUGACGAAGGCCUUCGGGUUGUAAAGUACUUUCAUUGAGGAGGCGUUACUCGCAGAGAAAGCACCGGCUAACUCCGUGCCAGCAGCCGCGGUAAUAC
rnacentral:rRNA from 1 species